CAGAAGUUUUAAAUAUUCAAAGAUAAAACCAAAUAAUUAAAAAUUAUGUAGCAGUCUAGGGCAUACACACUACAAUACCAGGUACUGAUGUUUGCACAUCUAUACAAAAUUCUCCUACUUUAGCACACCUUACAGGAUUCAAAAACAUAUACUUACCUGAUAUUUCCAAGGGUUUAGCCAUAUUUGUUUAAUUUAUAGAUUAUUUUUCAAUUGGGUGAUGCAUUGCAAGGAGGGAUUAAUUUCUUCCUGGUAUUAAAUUUCCAGAUUGCAAAGAUUGUAAAGAAAGUACUUACUUGAAAUUCUAAGAUGUAAUCAGAACCAGCUAGCUCAUGUUUUUAGACUGGUAGGAAAAUGUACUGUCUCCACGAGUCAUCAAGAUAUUUUAAGAAUGUUCUUACUUUAUGUGCACAAUAAUCUUUGUUGCAAUCAAUGGGGCCAAUCAUGUGCAUACAGUGUCCUGUGUCAAGUACAGGUUUGUCUUGUACUACAAAGGCAUUCAGUAUGCACUAAGUAAUGCCUGAAAGAUGACUUUAGUACCAAAAAAAUACCUCUGUUUAAUUUUAACAAUCCUCCAAAAUAGUAACAAACAUUGAGCAACUCAAGCAGAAUCUAAAUUUUCUGUUUUGUCACAAGAAAAUUGUUCCAGUCACAACAUGAUGUAAUCCUAAAUUCUAAGAAGCAAUAUUUGCAGUACACUGUGACAGACUUGUUGAAAUAUGUAUUUAUCUAAAACAUGGCUAGAAUUUUUUUAAAUUUAAAAAAAAUCCAUUGCUAAACAAGGCAAAAUGCUUUGCAUAAACAUUUAAAUGAUACCUUUAAUUUACAUUUGUAUACAAUUCAUAUAAAUAAUUUUCAGUCUUAACAUGCUAAAUAAAAUCUAAGAAACUACCUAAAGGAAGAAGAUUAAUUGAGCUUAUUUCUGACUCCACUGAAUUCAGCUAGGGCCAUACUGCUGAUGUACAUAGAGUUUACUAAAAUAUAUGAAGUUAGUUCACUGGGGAGGGAGGUGUUAUGUGAUUAUAAAUAACUCUAAGAUAUUUUGGUCUUUCGUGUGAAACACAACUAUUUAUCCUUUUAUCUUCUUUGAAGUUAUUAUGAAGGAAUGAAAACAUAAAACUGAGAAUGCUUUACUGCAAUAUAUCUUCCUUGAAGACAGGAAGAAACUUAACAUGGAUUCAACAUCCAGUUCUAGUGUGCUCUUUCAAAAAUUCUUUAAGUUCUUUAGCAGCUUCUGUUAAUAUUUUUAAUGAAAAAAAAUGGUAAGGCAGAUGUCCUCAAUUUAGUGGCUCACUUCCAACAGUCCUCUAUUAGCCAUUGUUUUGUAUUUAGCAGUUUGCCAGCUGUAGUCAAAGGCAGGGAGCUGCUUUCAUGCAAAUCAAAUCCUGCAAGAGUCAUCCCGAGGGAGACAAAUAUUGAGCAGUCUUCCUGUUGCAGCAGCUAUUGAAGGUAUCUUCAGUCACCCAAACAGAGAGUAAAACAAUACCACACCUGAUGAAUUGAAAUACAUUUAAUUGAAGGAAACAUAGUUAACAGAAGAAGCAAAAUUAUCAUAGAGCCACAGAAUGGUCUGGGUUGGAAGGGACCAUAAAUAAAAUCUAGUUAAAACCCUCUGCCAUAGGCUGGGACACCUUCCACUAGACUAGGUUGCUGAAAGCCUCACCCACUCUGGCCCUGAACACCUCCAGAGGCGGCACAUCCACAACUUCUCUGAAAUCUCCAAAUCUACCCUCAUCCAAUUUAAAGCCAUUCCUGUGGAUGUGGCAGCCUGGUCAGAGAGUGAGAAAAUUAGCUAAAUUUUCCCUGCAUCAGCUUGUGAGACUUUAGGAAGUUCAAUAUAAGCAAUGGUAACUUAUUAUCAUGAACAACCUGCAGGUGUUGUUUUCCUACUCUGUUUUCCUGUUUUUCACAAGGACUGCUUAUAAGAAAAGCACGUUGUUAAUUAUCCAAUCAGGUGGAAUGUAUUGAUUAAUUGACCAGUCUGGUCCAUCUGUAUUGGAACAAUGUAUAAAAAGAGAGAAUUCAAAGUAAAGGGCAAACCAGCUUUCUGGUGAGUCUGUGUCUUUUCUUACCCAACAGUGACACAUUCUCCCUUGUCCUACCACUACAAGCCCUCAUAAAAAGUCCCUCUCCAGGUCUCUUGUAGCCCUCCAUUGCAUCCAAAUGCAGCUUUAGGUGUCCCCAGGGCCUUCUCUUCUGCAGGAUGAACAACUCCUGUUCUCUAAGUCUGUCUUCAAAGGUCCUCCAAGCCUCUGAUCAUUUUUGUGGCCCUCUACCAGGUCUACAUCUUUCCUGUGCUGAGGACUCCAGAGCUGGAUGCAACACUCCAGGUGGGUUCUCACAAGAAAGAGUUAGAGGGGAAGAAUCACCUCCCUUCCCUGCUGGCUACUUUUGACACUGUCCAGGAUCCUAUUGGCCUUCUGGGCUGUAAGCAAUUGCCAGGUCAUGUUGAGUUUCUCAUCCACCAACAUGUCCCAAAUAAGUUCUUACUGAAUCCUUUGUUCCUUCCAAUUUUACCACCACAAAGAACUGAGAAAUACUGCCCAAUGGAGUAAAGAGAAGAAGCAUAGAAGAAAAAUACACAGAUGCGUGGGAGUAUGAAGAUAAUAGUAAGAGUAGCAAAUCUUAAGAAAACGACCACAGAAGCAGCCCUUCCUAAUGCCACAAUUAUUGAUUUUUUCAUGAGCACCAAGAGUAUACAGCCUGGGUUUUUCCAUCUGAAAUUUGAAGAGCCUCCAACACAGAGCAUUUUCACUGACUUCAUUCAUAUUUUAAAGAAAGACAAAUAAAUAAUAUGCAUAAGGAAGUCUUGAGAAAUGCUGAAUUGAAUUUUUCAAAUGCACUUUUUUUCUCCCAUUCCCUUGCUGAUAAUAAACAUCACCAACACUAGAUGCCUUUUCCUUAAUGGAAAUCUUUUCAGAUGUUUUAUGCAUGGACUUUGCACUUUUUAAGUAUCCCAAGAUAGUUUAUGCUGACACAAAUGUAUUUUUCCUAUUUUGUUAGAUGAACGACAAAGUUAAACAAACUGUAAAAUAAUAUAAUAAAACGGAACCUUGAAUUCAGAGCUCUGAGGUUAAAAGGCCCUUAGCCUCUCCUCAGAGGUACUGCACUGAAAUCUGUUCCAAGAGUGGGCUCCCAGAGAACUGUAGUGGGGCCAACUUGCAACUGUCCAUUGGAAUGUCAGUAAGGACAUAAUGAUUCUGUCCCAAACCCCAGAUGAUCAUAGAACCGCUGGCCUAAACAAAAGAUAACAUAAACAUAGUGCAGACUUCUAGUGAUAAAAGCAAAUCAAACUGUGACUCUCCAAUUGCUUCUGUCAAUUAUUAUCUAUUGCUUAAGCAAGAUAAAUUGGGAAAUGUUGUAUUGUGUUAUUUGGUUUGUCCAUGUUUUUCCCUUUUAGAAAACUGAUUUCCCCCACGCAGGAGGGGGAAAUAAACACCCUUUUGUGAUGCAGACAGCCUUGCACCCAUUGUGGUUGAGAUAUUAAAUUCUGAGUCGAAAUUAAAUCACCCACCCAGGAGAAACGGAGAAACAAAAAACACCACCCACAACUGCACCCUUCUGAGAAUCUGGCACCUUGCCAGAGAUCUGGAGCACACACCCAACCAAGGAAAGGGCCUGCGGUGCCUCCUCCACCCCGCUCCAAGGCAAGAGCACUACCCACCAAAAAGGGGCCGCUCCCACUUGGGGUAGCUUGCCAGCCAGGAGACUGAAAAUGGUAACUCCAGCUGGAAUACCGACAGUCUCUUCCGUGGUGGUUUUUGGGGCCCGCAGUGGGCGCCAAGCUGCCGCAGUGUCCACUGAAAGUCUUCCUGGUGCCUCCCUGCUAGCUCCGACACAGUGGCUGCAGGGGAUGGACACCCUUCUGUGCUCAGGAGCGCAGGAGAGAGGAUAAGGGUUAUGAGCCCUUUCCUUGGAAGGCACUGCCGGCGAUGGUGAGGGAACCGGGAGGAGACAAAUCCACAUUGUACAAAUCUGAGGUGUUUUGGUAGCUCCAAGGAAGCAUCUGGAAUGAGGAGCACAAUGCUAGAAAGCCUCCAAGGGCUCUGGAGCAGCCCCUUUCCUUAUGGGGUGGAAACAAGGAAGGGGUUUGGCUAUCCACCAAGGGGAUAGAGGGGAGUGGGACACGAAGUAAUUGUCAAGUAGGAGAACAUAUCGGGGAGCUGAGGAGGAGGGACCCCUGGCCCUUGGCCAAACACUCGACGCCCUUUGUGGAAGCUUCCAGAGAGUCAAGUGACAGACAAGGUGCCAGGAAGGGGCUAUGGGGACUGACAAGGAAAUUUCUAGGGAUUUGGGAGGAGUGGGGAUGGGAUUGACAUUUAGGGAAGGGGAGACAACUUGGGAUGAAACCAUAAAUGAGAGAAAAACAGGGACAAACUAAAUAACACAAUACAACAGGGAGACUAUGAAAGAACAGUCCUGUGCCCUUUUGUUUCUGCUUAAUCUAUAAUCCAUUAGUAGUGGGUUGAGGCAAAUGUUUUAUAAAGCACUUGGAGAGAAGAGAGCAUAUUGCAAACAGAAACUCUCUCUGGGAAUGUGGACUUUGCUUCUCUGAAAAAAAAUGCAGUAAGUUUUCAAAACACCAUAAUGACCACCUCGUUUUUUCACACACACAUAAUUUGCAAUGACUCCAUCACUUGGAAGUGGUUGUAGUAUGAGUACAAUACAGCCUUUUCUUUAUCAGCUCUGCAAAAUAAGUUGUAGGCCAAAGGACAACAUUUUAAAGACUUUAAAAACCCAACACCAGAACCAGAGGAUCUGAUGGGGAUUGCUUGAAGCAGAAGGAAGUUAUUAACAUUACUGCUGUUGUCAAUGUAGCAACAUGUUUACACAGUAAAAAACCCAAACCCCACAGCCCUUCUCAGCGCGUCAUUUGUUUCAGUUUGCCAGCAACAUGCCACAUGUGCCUGACCUUGUUGAUAUUCCCAUACAUAACCAACACAGGGUAGGUGGAAGUCCAAGACCAGAUAAACCUAAUCAACCUUUGUGCCUGGAUGGUUUUUCAGCGUUCAAUCUCUCUUGAUUGUCGAUCAAGUCAUUAAACUACUGGAUUUGUAUGACUCAAAGGCCUUCUCUAACCAUCAACAGCCACACCUUCCACUUUUCAGUCAAACUGAUGGAUAUGCAUUUAGAAGCCUUCUAGACCCAAGGACACAGGCUGUGUCCUCUUCUUUCUUAGACAUUUGGGUUUUUUCUUUUCUCUAGAUUUUGGGUGACUCAAGGAUUCUUCAGGUUAAUGAGGACAGGACUCAGAUACAGGACAGUCUGCUGCAAGCAAAACCAGUUCCCCAUUCAGAUGUAGCAGGCCCCUCUGCAUCCCAAAAUCUAGUUGUCAGUUCAGCCAAAUUAUUGUCUCUGAAGAUUUCAAAGUUCACAUUGCAGAUGAAGCCUACAUGUUCUCAAACUGAGCUAUGUACUCCAGCUCUCCUACUAGAGUGUCCCUUCAUGAUAAAUCCUGUUAUCUGGGGUGUACUGUACACACUCCCAGCAAGUCAGAGCCAAAACCUAGGUAUGGUUAUUCUCCAUCAGCAGAGGAAGUGCAGCAUUGAUGAUAGUAGGUUUCCACCCAUUCGAUUUCCUGUUUCUGUAACAGCUCUGGGGAAAAAAAACAAACCUCAGACCAUCCCUGCCUCUGCUUACCAAUUCCCAUACUCUUUUCAACUUUGGACAGCUGACUGUAUAGGAAGAAUAGGUAUUCAAAAAUUCUUCAGAUCUCUGCAAUACACUGUCGUUAGUCUUACCAUGGUGAACAAAAACAUUUUGGACCAAGAUGUUUUAUGUCAAAGCAGAAUCUCUCUGGUAAGCUGUGUCUUAGUUAGGAGGAGCAGCAAAUGAAAAAGGCCACAUCUCCUUUUCUGCUGUUACUUUUUUUUUUUUGUAAAUUUUUAAAUUUGGAUAUAGCAAGAAAACACAGAUAAGGUAAGAAGUGAAGUCUCACUGAGCAACGUCUGUCUUCUUUCAGCAGUUCAUGGAGCUGGGCCAUAAAAUAAGGAGAGGAAAAGUACUUCUGUGUACUGCGGUGCGUGGAUGCAUCUCAAAUAGCAGAUGCUCAUCUCCAGGAUCUUCGUGUUAUCAGCUGUGCUCCUAGGAUUUUGCCAAGGAAAAGACACAGAUACUGUGCAUUUUUUUAUAAAGCUGAGUUAGCAAACACAAGGGCCUCCAAACAAUAAUCCAUACAGCUGAAAAGGGAGCUGGCCAAAAUUCUCUUGGGAAUUGGAGAUACCUCUACUCCUCUCUGGUCUUUAUUAAUGCCUUGUAUCAUCAGUCUAAGUGGAAGAGCAGUAGCACACUACUGUCUCACGUAAAAUAUUUAGAGAGAGAUUGCUGAUUAGCCACUGCUGCAUUUGGAAGCCCAUGUU
ensembl:lncRNA